AAUAGAUACAUGAGCUCUCUAUGAUACAUUGGCUAUUGCUACUAUUGAUUUUUUUGUAUUGGGUACUCACAUUUAUGCAUUAGGUUAUGAUAAUUGAUUUGUUAUGUCUAUAUACAAUGGGAGUUGAUUUAGCCUUUGUUAUUUAGCUCAAUUGCUCAUAGUUCACUAGUAGAACUAUGGUUUGAUGAAGAUAUUGUUAAUGGUAUGGGUGGAGACUGGAGUGUG
rnacentral:misc_RNA from 1 species